rnacentral:pre_miRNA from 13 species
CUCUUUGGUUUUCUAGCUGUAUGAGUGUGUUAUACCUUCAUAAAGCUAGACAACCGAAUGU